rfam:Equus caballus chromosome 6, whole genome shotgun sequence.
CACUCUUCUGAUCGCCGGUAGGGCAGCUAUUAGAAAAGAAAGAUCAGCUGAGGCCUUGGGACCUGAUCAGCUUAGUACAGAAGUGACUGCUUUCAACUACUUAGGCCUAACUCUCUCCGAAACAAUGAAUUAUACAAGUUUUAUCUUGGCUUUUCAGCUGUGUGCGAUU